CUUUCCCUUGAGAGAUAACAUCAUCCCUUUGAAUGCAGCAGGAGCCCUGCACGAUGGCUGUACGUGUGGAAGCAGCGGGUGAAGCCUCGCUCCUGUCAUCUGCUCCAAAAACAAGCACGUGACGGGCUGGAGCGCACACGAAGCUUCUCUGCAAACGUUGGUUUCCCACUCGGAUUUUCAGCAGCACACGGCCAUUGUAAACAAGAUGCUAAAUGACCUACCCUCAGAGCUGCGCCCCUCGAUGACACAGAAGGAAUAGAACAUAAGGUCUGAUUGAAUGGCAUUUAGUUAUCCGUGCUCGCCAUGCUUAAACACCUCCGGCAGGGGUGGAGGGGGCUCCCUCUUCCUUUUUACACUUUGACUUUUUGACUUGGAACCUGAUGUGGCUCCGUGACAGUCCUGAGUGGCUUCAUUCCUGGUGACUGCCUGUGGAUGUGCUCCUGCCAGGCUCACCUCAGAGGAAGCAGAGGUCGCUGAGGUGUGCAGUCACUAGAGCUGUGGAUGACCUCAGCCCCCAGGGCCCAGAGUAUACUUUUGCCAAAAUGUGGAGGUAACAUGCAUGGCCCUGAGGACCAACUGAGAGCAAGACAGAAACCAAGAGCAACCAGCAGGAGUUUGGCCUUGGGAUCGAGCCGUGCCUGAAGCCUCCCCUUUUUGAACUGUCCAGUAAUGAGAGUUCAUUUUGUCCCUUUUUUGCAUAAGUGCAUUUUGGCUGAUUUCCCUCACUUGUAACUCAUGCAGAGAUGGUACUGGAUGUGGGCCUGUUCACGUCACAGACUUCAAAGAGGAAAUGAGCGGAGCCUUAAGUUUCCCGGGGACUAUCAUGUGGAAGUGAGUGAUCUGGAUGAAACUGAGGCAGCAUUUCCUGCAGAACGGGGACAGCGGGCGCCACCCACACUCGACCAGCAGAAUGGGGACAGUGGGCGCCACCCACACCCACACUUGACCAGCACACGUUCACUCUUCCAGGACAUCUUCUCAGGAAGAGGGAAGAUGCACACCACUGCGUCAAUUCCGGGAAACUCCUGGAACACCAUUCGGUUUGUUUCUGAAGGCUGCCUUAAGCACCACAGACCGAGCAGCUAAAACAACAGACACUUAUUUUCUCAGCCCUGGGUGCUGGAAGCCCGAGGUCAAGGUGCCUGGGUUGGUUCCUUCUGAGGCUUCUCUCCCUGGCUCACCCUGGGCGUCUCCUCCCAAUGUGAUGUCCUCACAUGGGGUCGCUCUGAGCGUGUCUGUGUCCUAGUCUCCUCUCCUUAUGAAGACACCAGUCAGAUUGGGUCAGGGCCACCCUAGCAACCUCAUUUUAACUUGAUUACCUCUUUAAAUACUCUGCCUCCAAAUACAGUUACAUUCUGAGUUUCUGGGGGUUAGAACCUCAACAUAUGAAUUUUAGGGGGACACAGUUCAGCCACAACAUCCUGUGUCCACCCUUCCUAACGAUUAUAUCAUGAUCCUUAAUCCAAAUCCAAACCAGGCCCCCUCCACUGGGUGCCUCUGCAUUGAAAGACGCAUGUAAACCAGACCACAAAACUGCAAACACCCAACACCACUGAGGCCGGGCUGGGCUUUUCUCCGCUGCAUGAAGCCAGCCGCUCAGCUUUGUCUUAGCAUAGGGUGACUGCGCCGGCGUCCGGGGGCAGGGUAUGUCGCUGAUAUUUUGGGGAGUCAGCCGUGGAUGACGUGUGAGUCCCAUGCACUCUGCCAGCCAAUGUCUAUGUUUAUGAACCCCCCAGGCUUCCCCACAGAAGUGGGUGUGAGGAAUGAUUUGGGAACUCUGGGGUGCUUUUUCCCGGGAAGUUCACCCUCCCAGCAAUAAUGAAAAUAAAAAUAAAAUGGCAAAAGAUCUCGGUGUUGUCUUGACCAUUCUAUGUUGUAG
rnacentral:lncRNA from 10 species